rnacentral:tRNA from 1 species
GCCUCGAUGGUGUAGUGGUCAAGACGCUCGCCUGGUAAACAGGAGGGCGUGGGUUCGAUCCCAACUGAGGUA